rnacentral:rRNA from 2 species
AACGACUCUCGGCAACGGAUAUCUCGGCUCUCGCAUCGAUGAAGAACGUAGCGAAAUGCGAUACUUGGUGUGAAUUGCAGAAUCCCGUGAACCAUCGAGUCUUUGAACGCAAGUUGCGCCCCAAGCCUUCUGGCUGAGGGCACGUCUGCCUGGGUGUCACAAA